UAGGGAAUCUUCCACAAUGGACGGCAAGUCUGAUGGAGCAACGCCGCGUGAGUGAAGAAGGGUUUCGGCUCGUAAAGCUCUGUUGUUAAAGAAGAACGUGGGUAAGAGUAACUGUUUACCCAGUGACGGUAUUUAACCAGAAAGUCACGGCUAACUACGUGCUAG
rnacentral:rRNA from 1 species